AAUGGAGACCAGCCAAGUUAAACACACCUCCAACAUCCAGUGAAUACAAAAUCAUCAGAGCUACUAAGUCUCAUGUUGGAGGAUACAGCUGCCGGGGCAGAAGAAGCUCCUCCUGGACAGAGUGGAGUGAUAUCACCACAUUAACUGUGUUAUAUCCUCCUAAGCCCACCGUGACCCUGCAGCCAUCCUGGACUCUGAUAUACAGCGGUGAGAUAUACAGCGGUGAUAGAGUCACUGUCAGAUGUGAGAUUCAAGGAAGUGAAGGAGCUCAGUGGACGUAUGAAUGGAGACGAGGCCAGUCAAACAUACAUGAAACAUCCAGUGAAUACAGAAUCAACAGUGUUACUGAGUCUGAUGGUGGAGGAUACAGCUGCCGGGGCACAAGAAGCUCUUCCUGGACAGAGUGGAGUGAUAGCACCCCAUUGAAAGUAAUAGCUCCUCCUAAGCCCACUGUGACCCUGCAGCCAUCCUGGACUCAGAUAUACAGC